GGUGUUCAUUUGAUUGUUAUGUUGAUUGUUAUUUUAUUUAUUACUUUUAUUUGAUUCAUUUGAUUUUAUUUAUUUAUAUUUUAUUAUUUUACUUUUUUAUUUUAACACUUAUUUUACUUUUUUAUUUAAAUUUUUGUUCUUUAUUUUCAUACAGUGGUACCUCGGGUUAAGUACUUAAUUCGUUCCGGAGGUCCGUUCUUAACCCGAAACUGUUAUUAACCUGAAGCACCACUUUAGCUAAUGGGGCCUCCUGCUGCCGCCGCGCCGCCGGAACACGAUUUCUGUUCUCAUCCUGAAGCAAAGUUCUUAACCUGAAGCACUAUUUCUGGGUUAGUGGAGUCUGUAACCUGAAGCGUAUGUAACCUGAGGUACUACUGUAUUUUGAUUUUACAUUUUUAUUUUGUGCACAUUUGUGCACAUUUUGUAUAUAUUUAUUUUGUGCAUAGAGUAGUUAGGGGUAAGUGUAGGGUUAGGGCGAGGGUUAGGCUUAGGCUUACGGCUGGGAUUGGGUUUGGGGUCAGAGUUAGGCUUUGGUGGGCAUUUUAAAUACUUAGCUAGUUUAAAGAGGAGGGUGGGAGUUUUUUGUGAACAAAAUGUGCAGACUGUAAGUAGCAUUCCUCUGCUUUCUCUUGGUCUCCUGGGGGCAGGGUGUGAGUCCUGGGGUCCCCUGCACAGCCUUAGCUCUCUGGAAAUUGACCUGACCAGUCUUCUCCAGAGACCUCAGCUCCUCCACACUCUUUCCCUGCCUUCCCCUUUUCUCUCCCCACGCAUCAUUUACAUUUUCUAGGACAUUCCUAGCCCACUUUCCUCCCAGGAGCUCAAGGUGGCCUUCAUGGUUCUCUCUGCCACCAAUUGUUAUCUUCACAGCAACCCUGCAAAGUAGGCUAGCCUAAGGUCCACCAGGGAGCUUCAUGGCUGAGUGGGGAUUCGAACGCUGCUCUCCCAGGUCCUCCUAGUCCAGCCCUCCAAUAGGGCAGUAAGUAUCAGAACUGCAUGGCAGAAGUAGGAAGCUUCAGGCCUUCAUUUUGUCUCUUGCAGUCUAGGCUAAAACAUGUUUCUUCAGAACUAGAUAUGACUCAAUGAGACUAAUUCAAAAGUAGUUCUUCUUCUUCUUCUUCUUCUUCUUCUUCUUCUUCUUCUUCUAUUCAUUUAUUAAAUUUAUAUACUGCCCUAUAUCUGGGGGUCUCAGAGCAGUUCACAGAAUAAAAUAAAGAUAUAAAACCACAAAAUUAAAUUAAUGAAUUAAUUAAUUAAUAAUAAUAAUAAACAACCCAAUAGCCUCUCCCCCAGCCCAAUAGGAUUGAAGAGCAAGCUUAAUACCAAAGAGCACACAUUUAAGCUCCAAUAAGGUUUCUGUCUCAUACAACACGGGUUUGUGUGUGAGAGAAAAUUAAGAGAUAUACAUAGCUGCAUGUAAAUAGUUAUGAGAAACAUUCUGUUUUCCAAGUUUUGUCACAUAGCUUUAACAGUACGUAGAUCUUGGAAAUACCAAAAGGAGGCUGGUUAUUAUUUUGCCAGUCCUUCGUAAAUACAGAGCAGUGGUUUCGGAAAGACCUUUUUCCGUCCUCCCGCCUUCCCUUGAUAGUUUAGACAUAGCAGCAUAUUCCACAGUGCAAACUUCUAAACUAUUUGAAAACGAGAGAGCUCCCAGCAAUGCUUUGACAGGGGCAAUGGAGCAAUGAAGGCUCCCCCUGCCGCCAAGAAAGGUAAGCUGCUCAAUAGAGCUACCAGCUUUUUACUUUCAGUGCUGUUGGUUAUUUUGGACGGGGGGCUGGUGGUUUGCAGGUGUAUUCUGCAAUGUAGAAUCACAGAAUCGUAGAGUUGGAAGGGACCCUGAGGAUCAUCUAGUCUAACCCCCUGCAAUGCAGGAAUAUGCAGCUGUCCCAUACGGGGAUUGAACCUGCAACCUUGGCACUAUCAGCUCCACGCUCUAACCAGCUGAGCUAUCCAGACGUGUCAGUGGGACGCAGGUGGCGCUGUGGUCUAAACCACUGAGCCUCUUGGGCUUGCUGAUCAGAAGGUCAGUGGUUCGAAUCCUCGUGACGGGGUGAGCUUCCGUUGCUCGGUCCCAGCUCCUGCCAACCUAGCAGUUCGAAGCACGCCAGUGCAAGUAGAUAAAUAGGUACCACUGUGGCGGGAAGGAAAAUGGUGUUUCCGUGCGCUCUGAUUUCCGUCACAGUGUUCCAUUGCUCGAGAAGCAUGACCUGGAAAGCUGUCUGUGGACAAACGUCGGCUCCCUCAGUCUGAAAGUGAGAUGAGCACCACAACCCCAUAGUCGCCUUGGACUGGACUUAACUCCCAAACUCAUCCUGAAGCUGUGUUUCCCAAACUUGGGUCUCCUGCUGUUGUUGGACUACAAAGCCCAUCAUCCCUAGCUAACAGGACCAACGGUCAGUGAUGAUGGGAGUUGUAGUCCAACAGAUUGAGAAGCAUUGUCCUAAAGUCUGAGCAUUUAAAAUCAGAAAGAGAAGUGGAGAAGCCACAUACAGUCCAUUUUCUUACCCAUACAAUGGAGCUUAUGUUGCAGGGUGGCGGGGAUUAAGUAUGUUGCAGUAACACAUUAGUUCCUUAGUUUAAAUUUUUUCGCUUUGAAAACUAAACAGGUCCCAUCCUUGUCCCGCCGUCAGCUGCAUCAUAAUGUGCAGGCAGAACAAUGCAUGUUCUAAAAUGCAUUUGGCCACUAGGGGGUGAAUGUGCACUAUUCUUUCUCUGCGGAUAACAAUUUUUAAAAAGAUGCACUCCUUUGGGAUUUAAUUUUGGGUACUUGCUGGAUGACGCCAUUGAAUAGGAGAGUUUUGAAGCCUUAUCUCAGUUUAGAAAACAUGUGGAUGCUGUCGCUAAUUGUCCCUAAGUGUUUCGUUUUGAAUUGGGAAGCCGCUGGUAAUCUCUGUCUUUCUAAAUAUACAGAUAAAUAAGGCAGAUGCAGUUAUUUAUUUAUUAGCACUCUAUUUGGAAUGUAGGAUGACACGAAGUGGUUUUAUCUUGUCAGCUGCUUUUUUUGUCCACGUAGCCCAGAAAUGUGUGCUCUGGCGGGCAGCACCAACACAGGGUAUGAGGCAGAGGCCUUUUGCAUCAUCUGCUACAUGAGCCUUUUAACUGGAAAUGAAAAGAACAGCACCUUCAAAGCAAGUUCUCUGUCACUGAGCAGUGGAAUGGUUUAAAAGAAAAGAAAAGAAAGAAAAUCAGGGAAAAGAGGAAGAGUAUGAAUCUACCCCAGCCCAGAGAGAGGGAGAUCUCCACUGGAGAAGCUUUACUGUGGCAUUUGAAAUCUUCUCUAACACAUACACAAAAAUAGGGUGGCCAUAUUUAAAAAAGUAAAAACCGGGAGCUUUUUCUAGACAAACCCCCAAAUUGAUGAGUUUUGGUUUUUUAAAAACAAAACACCAAAAAACCUAAGAUGCAGGACAAAGCGCUGCCUUUUGGAAAUUCCCCCCGGACAUCAAUUCCGCCUUUGAAAAUCUGGUAAUGUCCAGUGAUGUAUGGCAGCCAGACACAAAAAGGUGCAGAAGUUGUUGUGCUGUACACACUAACCUUUUGAAUCACAUUCGAGACACGUUCCUUCCCUCAAAGAAUUCUGGGCGCUGUAGUUUCUCGAGAGUUGCUGGGAAUUUAGCUCUGUGAGAGGUAAACUGCAGUGUCUACAAUUCUUUGAGGUGCUUUGGAUGUGCUUUAAAGGAAUAUUGAGUACACAGCCAGGGUAAGGCUGCAACAAUACUAUGCGCCGUUACUUGGAACAAGGUCCACUGAACUCGGUGGACUGUGCUUCUGAGUAAACAUCAUUGUUAGGACCAACACAAAGAUCCUAAUGGAGCCUAGCCUUCCAAUGACCCCAUAGGAUCCUGUGUUGGAUGUGCAAGCCGUUUUAGAUGGGAGGUUUGAAUUCAAAGUGAUUUGGGUCCCAUUGACUCUGAACUCAGCUACACAGCUGCAAAUAAAACAUUUUAAGUCUGCUGUAAAGUGCAAUAUACAAAUGUGACACUAGAUGGCAACAGUGAGCUACGGCAAAUUCAACAUAUUUUUCAAAACUUUUUUUUAAAAAGCAUUUUCACGGCCUUUUUUAUAUGUGUGUAGACCCCAAGUCAAUGGGACAAAAUUCAAUUGAAAUCCCUAUGCUGUGGAAUCAAAACCCCAAUCUGAUUGGCUAGAUUAAUCCAAUAACCCGAUCUCUGCCGCUCGAACCUUAUAAAUAACAGCAGCUGCAAAAUGCUUUCCAUCACGCCUCCCUUCACUUCCUUGGUGGGCCUUAUUUUGUAUUUUUGUUGUUGUUCUGUUCAUCCCAAGUGAGAGGAAAACCCCAUCCUGGAUCAGGGAGGCAGGACUGUGUUGGCUAAAAUCCAACGGCUGCAUAUGGUCUAUGCUCCCAGUUUGUUUUGCUGCCACACCAGACAGCUCUAGAGACCCGUAAGUUGAAUUAUGUGUCAGAUGAGGAAUGAGGGGGAAAAGCAUGGAGUGAUUUCCCUUUUCCCUGCAAGGCUGAUUCCAAGGCAUUGGCUAGCUCUUUUCAGCUGACGUGAGCUGAUGGGAGGAUUUGAGAAUCCGCCUUGCCGGCCGCAGGUGAGCAGAAGCCCCUCUUGGGCUUGUCGAGAGGCAGAGCAAGUCAUGCGGCCAAGCCGGGCAACCGAACAACCACGUCAGCAGAAACGCGAACUUGGUAACAGGUUGAUAUUGCGGUUGCUAGAAUCAAGGCUGCGAAAAGCCUGCCCAGAAUCGAAAAGCCUGCCCCACACCGGGGAGGCUGCCAAAACAAACAGAGCCUUGUGCAACGUACAACAGAGUGCCCUUGCACUUGAUCUCUUUCUUUUGCAGAAAUCAGUCUUCCUAGAAACUCCCUCAUGGACUAGAUCUCCUUCACCCUGGGACACUCUCAAAAAACAAGUUUAGUUGAAUGAGGAACUCUGCUUAGGGAAUGAAGCAUGCUUGUAAUUUUAUUUGCCCUGCUUUCCUCUGUUAAUCUUAAACUCUCUCUCUCUCUCUCUCUCUCUCUCUCUCUCUGUGUGUGUGUGUGUGUGUGUGUCUUGGGCUUUAUGCACACAUUUGCAGCGCAUUUCAAGCAUACAACCUGCUCCGAAUCCUGGGAACUGUAGUUUGCCACGCACCAAGCUACAGUUCCCGGCACCCGUAACAAGCUAUCAUUCCCAAAAUAAUUUGGUGGUGUGUGUGUGUGACAUGUUUUAAAAGUGCUCUAAAUCUGUGGUGUGUAUGCAAUCUUGUGGUGGUAAAAUCAAAAGCUUAAACGAAAGUGAGAUGGUUAUAAUUUCCGAACAUUUUCCUGUUUUAAUGGAGCUGGGUGGAGGAAUCUCAAAAUUUGAUUAAUAGAGCUAUCAUGCAAUAAGUAAGAAGAGUGAAGAUACUUUUAUGCUCAGAAUGGAACAGUAAAAGGGAAAAGGGAAAACAAUACAUAAGGUGUAACAAUACAUAACAAUACAUUGGGUAAAAAAAUACAUAAGAUGUUGUUUUUCAGAGAUUGUGGAUUUGUCUAUUUACUACAUGAACUACUGUCAGGGAACUGACAUCGGAGCUAGAGGUGGAGGGAAGGCUCUCUAAUGAUGCUGGAGAAGGGCCCAGCAGGGAGAGAGGCAGCUCAGCAGAUGGGGAAGCAAUUCAGUGCAACACCAGGAAUAAGGAGGGGCAGAUGGGGGAAUCGGCGAGAGGGCUCCAGGACUCUUCACCGGACACCAGCGGGGAGAGCACUGGUCCUCCGCUACCCAUGCCCUCCCUGCGCAGAAGACUUCCGCGCAGAGAAAGUAGGAGGAGACUGGGUGUCAAACAACUUUUAUGUUGGAAAAGGUUUAAGAAACGCCCACUGACGGAUUCUGCUAGCGACUGAGGCAGUCACGAAUUGAAGGGCUGGCCAGACAGAAAGGUUUAACCAGGCAACAUAGCCAGGAGAGGCGGCAACUUACGCACGAGCAACCCCAUACCAUUAUAACUACCACAUUAAUGCAAGGACUCGUGGUGAUGUACAUAGUUCCCCCUCUUUCAUUUUAUCUUCAAAACAUCCCUGUGAGGGAGAUUAGGCUGAGAAUAUCCCAAUGAGCUUUGCAUCUGAGUGAGAAUUUGAAAUCUGGCCUCUCUGGUCCGAGUCUGACACUCUUAACAGUUAGGGUUGAACCGCAAAACUGAUUCUCAAGUUCCCAAAUUAUUAUAUUAUGUAAAAUGCAUUUUAAUGGGGAGAACAGGUGAAGACAGCUGCCUAAGAGACUGGUAAGCUGUUGCCAGUCAGAGAAGGCACUACAGUGGUACCUCUGGUUACAGACUUAAUUCGUUCUGAAGGUCUGUUCUUAACCUGAAAAUGUUCUUAACCAGAAGCAUCACUUUAGCUAAUGGGGCCUCCUGCUGCUGCUGCGCCGCCGCCGCGCAAUUUCUGUUCUCAUCCUGUUCUUAACCCGAGGUACUAUUUCUGGGUUAGCGGAGUCUGUAACCUGAAGUGUAUGUAACCCGAGAUACCACUGUACUGAACUAGAUGAACUACUGACUAGUCUCAGUAUAACUUAAGGCAGUUUCAUAUCUUCUUUGGCGAUCACUCAUAGCCAAGUAAGAUUGUCUUCCAUGAACACGGUUUUAACAGUGAGUCUGUAAGUGACUGUGGAGGCCAAUUCUGGAUCAACACAUCCUUCCACAGUAGGGACAUAGGUUUCUGGGCAGGAGUUGAUCAUGGUGAGGGUUUGGCAAGCGUGCCUUCCUCUUAGCACAUUUCUCCCUUUCCUCCUGAGUUUGAGUGUCUUCAAAGUCCAUGACACCUUUGGUAAAGGCUGUUCUCCAAUUGGAGUGUUCACAGGCCAGUGUUUUUGAGUUGUCGGUGUUUAUACUACAUUUUUAAGAUUUGCCUUGAGAGAGUCUUUAAAACUCUUUUGUUGACCACCAGCAUUACGCUGUCCAUUUUUAAGUUCAGAAUAGAGUAGUUGGUUUGGAAGACGAUAAUCAGGCAUCUGAACAACAUGACUAGUCCAACGAAGUGGAUGUUGAAGAAUCAUCGCUUUUACACUGGUGAUCUUUGCUUCUUUCAGUACACUGGCAUUAGUUGGCCUGUCUUCCCAAGUGAUGUGUAAACUUUUUCGGAGACACCGUUGAUGGAAUAGAAUCUCAUAUCUAUCUAUCACUUAUCAUCUAUCUAUCUAUCUAUCUAUCUAUCUAUCAUCUAAAAUAAAUGCUAAUCCAUUUUGAGAGUUAGAAACUAGAAAUCUUUCUCACAUACAAAAGCCACAGUCCAUCACACGGUUAAGCACAAGCCAGCCCAUUAAGUUUGAUGGGUUUAAGUGCUGGAUCGUGGCCAUGAGAGAUUAACAAAAACAGCCUUGUCAGACUUUUAUCGCCAGCUUACUCUGGGAGCGUUUCCAGCUUUUCAUACGUCGACUUUGUCUCCCGAAGCUACAUCUCCUUAAGAGCAAUUUUAUCUAUAGUGGGCAAAUUACUUAAUUGCAUGCUAUUAAAAUAAGAGAUUCCAGUUUGAGUACAAAGCUCCAAGGUUCAAAGUUGUAGGUGGUUGGGUUUUUUGUGUGUGAAAGAAAUUAGGUGAAAAUCUUAUCGGCGAUCUGUAGGACAGUUUGAAGUUUCGUUUCACUCUGCCGCAUGAAAGCUCAACAGAUUCUGUGUUGUGCAACAAAGAAUCUAGGUUUCAUAUUUUCAGAACUACAAGUAACACUCGCUCUCUUAAUACUGGCUGGGAUCCAGCAUUCCCCCACUUGGAUCCCCGCAAUGCUAUAUCAAAAGCUGCUUUUAAAGUUUCCUCACCCAGAUCAUAGGCUUUGGGAAGGCAACACAAGGGCUAUGGGGUGUGUGCAAUGUUGUCAAGGGCUGCCAAAAAAAGGCCUCGAGGGCCGCAUGUGGCCCUUGGGCCACGCAUUAAACAACCCUGCUUUAUAGCAUGAAGCCAUCCCUGAAAUUUUGAUUGCGGAAGUCCUGCUCAAACGUGCGUGUUUCCCCAAUAGAAUUAACAAGGAUUCCUUAGUGCCAGGAGAGUCUGAUCUCUGAAAGUUUUGGGAGGGGGCUGUUACUGAUCUUACUGGGUCCCACCAGGAGGUUUGGCUGGCAGGAAGCUGUGCCACUCUGUGUGGGCACAUUGCUUUGAACGUCUUGAGAGCGACUCAGUGCCACGUGAGAUGAUGGCGUUGCUCCCAAAAUGUUCCAGGAAGUGCAACUGAGAGGCCUGUGAGAAGCACAGCAUUUUUAUUAAGUUAGAAAAGCAGGGAAGAAAUGAGAAACCUUUGUCUACCUUGUAAGAUUCAUAAAAGUAAAUCAUCAGCUGCCUCCUUAAGAUUUCAGAAAUAAAUUGCUCCUCACGCCCUCCUGUGGUCUUUCAGGAGAGUUUUGUUUUGUAGGGGUGCCAAGUAAAAAGCAGGACACCCCGAAAGUGUUGAGCAAAAGCUACGAGAAUUUUGAGUUCUGCAGCUGUUUUUGGCAUUUUCGUCACGAUUUAACCCCCGUUGCCGGUUUUCCGGGACAUUUGCCCGAUUUCCGAGAAAUACAGUGGUACCUCGGGUUAAGUACUUAAUUCAUUCCGGAGGUCCGUACUUAACCUGAAACUGUUCUUAACCUGAAGCACCACUUUAGCUAAUGGGGCCUCCUGCUGCUGCCGCGCCGCCGGAGCCCGAUUUCUGUUCUCAUCCUGAAGCAAAGUUCUUAACCUGAAGCACUAUUUCUGGGUUAGCGGAGUUUGUAACCUGAAGUGUAUGUAAUCCGAGGUACCACUGUAAUCCAGGAUGCUAUUUUGGGGGGAGAAUUCCAGGUCAUGUAGCAGUGGGAAGAAUGGAGUUAGGAUUUCUGAUUUCCUGCUUGGAUAACCACUUUGUUACUUGCAUAGCUCAACCCAGGUUGGAAUAAAAAGUGUUUGGACCACACAUUAAUUAACCACAAAACUGUCCAUAUAUCCUUAUUAUCAUGCAAUCAUGGUGAUUUGUGCUCAUGAUGGUAUCAGGGUGGUUAUACACAAUCCCACUUUCAAGACUGCUUCCGCUCUCAAAAGUUUUGUGCCAGAGGUAUCGUUGCCCAUUCGUCCAGAUCUGGCGCUUCUCCAGCUGAUCAUGAGAACUCUAAACCCGGGAAGACAAAUGAAUGAAUGAAAGGAAAGCAAGAGUGAUGGAGAGCUGGACUUUCCAGAUUUCCCUUAAAUCCAAGCUCAGCCAUGAAGCUUAUUGUAUGGCUGUGGGUGGGUCAGCAUCUCUUUUGGACCCAGAGGUUCUUGCGAAGAUAAUCCAGUAUCUGCCAGCCUAAGUUUGGAGGAUGGAACGGAUGCAAAUGUGAUAAAUAAGAUCGCUCCCUUUGGUUAGCAGUUCUGGGGCUCGCUUUUCAUCUGACCUGAGACAAUACUGUUGGGGCACAGAAUCUACUGCAGACCAGAUGAAAUAAUGUAAUCAUUUAAUAGCCCUUUUCCAGCCAUGACCUUUGCUCAGUGAGGCAGUAAACACUGAAACAAAAACCACAUUACCUACCUAACUAAUUGUUUUAACAAGAUAUGUUAAUGCAUUGCCCUAAGUCUGUGUAGGACAUACUUUGAGGUGAUCAAUGGGACACGGGUGGCACUGUUGUCUAAACCACCGAGCCCCUUGGGCUUGCCAAUCGGAAUGUCGGCGGUUCGAAUCCCCAUGUCGGGGUGAGCUCCCAUUGCUCUGCCCCAGCUUCUGCCAACCUAGCAAUUCGAAAGCACGCCAGUGCAAGUAGAUAAAUAGGUACCAUUGUGGCAGGAAGGUAAAUGGCGUUUCCGUGUGCUCUGUCUUCCCUCACAGUGUUCUGUUGUGCCAGGAGUGGUUUAGUCAUGCUGACCACAUGACCCGGAAAGUUAUCUGUCGACAAACGCUGGCUCACUUGGCCUGAAAGCGAGAUGAGCACCGCAACCCCAUAGUCGCCUUUGACCAGACUUAACCGUCCAGGGGUCCUUUACCUUUACCUUUUUACCUUUAAGCAGAUAUGUUAAUAAAUUCCCCAAAUGCACUGCACUAAAUCUGUGUAGGCAUAUUUUUAGGUGAUCAAUGGGGCUUACCUUUAGAAAAGUGUGUAGUACAGUGUGCCCAUUAAUUCUGCAAUUGAUUGUAGUAUAUGAAUUGGCCUGAAACCUUCUGUCUCAUUCUUACAGAAAGGGAAGCUGUUUCUCAUUCCUUUUACACCAAGCUGCACCCAGAGAUUUGUGGUCUCCCAUGCAGUCAAGCCGAGGAAUCUUUAGACUUUGGACUCUUUGGGCAAUUUAUCUGUGUUUCCUCUAUUAAGUUUGUACUUUGUAAUCAGUCUUGGGUCUCUGAUGCCUCGCAUCUGGGAAGGUAGCCUGGUGCCCCGGGGCGGCUGAACUAGAUGUUCCUUUCAAAAAGCAAAUUCAGGGACACAUUGACAAACUGGCCUGAGCCCCACCCAGACCUCUUCCAGAGUCUUAGACGGUGGCACGAGGAAGCAAUGAGCUACUAAAUUCUUAGUGAUAUAAAUAUGAGCAGUCUGAAUUGUACCAGCAUGAUCAAAGGACUAGCUCUCCAAACAUUUGGUUGAUAAUCAAUAUUUUUAGAAAAGGAGGAAUGCAGCAGCCUGCCUGCUGCUGAUGUCGAGCCCCAAUGUGUCGAUUGGAAAGUGGCAGGACUGGGAAUCUGGUGGAGCCAAGAUGUUAAAUACAGUCAGACCUUGGUUGUUCAAUGCCUUGGCUCUCCGACAUUUUGGCUUCCAAACGCCACAAACCCACAAGUGAGUGUUCCGGUUUGCGAACGUUUUUUGGAAGCCAAAUGUCUGAUGCUGCUUCUGUGGCUUCUGAUUGGCUGCAGGAAGCUCCUGCAGCCAAUCGGAAGCUGCGACUUGGUUUUUGAACCAUUCCGGAAGUUGAAUGGUCUCCUGGAACAGAUUAAGUUCGACAACCAAGGUACCACUGUACUAGAGUUUCUGAAUCCAGAUAGGUUUUUCAGACUGCCAUAUUCACCCCACUUACCUGAAAGUGAGCAGCAUCAAUUCAAUAGAAUUGACUUCUCAGUAGACAGGGUUAGGAUUACCCUCAGCAGAUUAAUUUGUGGUAAUCUAUCCAAUUCCUGGGGUAGCCAAUCCUGACCUCAGUGGAUUUGUGUCUGUCUGAAUGAAGGAAUAUCUAGUCUACAAAUCUGUAGCUGUCUUGUAUCAGUUUAGCGACAUCAAUUUCCUUCCCAAAAUUCCUGGUGUUCUCCCUUAGCUUUGUUUAGAUUUGGCCUUUGUAUAUUUGGAUAGUCCUACCUGGAAAAUGGGCUUGGCGAGGUGGGAGAUUUCAUAGAAUCAUAGCGUUGGAAGGGACCCUGAGGAUCAUCAAGUCCACCCCCUGCAAUGCAGGGAUAUGUAGCAGUGUAGGGAUAUGCAACUGUCCCAUAUGGGGCUAAAACCUGCAACCUUGAUGCUAUCAGCACCACGCUCUAACCAACGGAGCUACACUGGAAGUUGUCAUUUGGUGAGAUUGCUGAAAAUGUCGUUUGGGGGUCCCCAAUCUCCCUCUCUGAACUACAAUUCCCAGAGGUCUGAUUGCUACGUCAGUCUGUAUGUGGCACGACCUUUGCUAGGGACGCGGGUGGCGCUGUGGGCUAAACCACUGAGCCUCUUGGGCUUGCCGAUCGGAAGGUCAGCGGUUCAAAUCCCCACGACGGAGUGGGCUCCCAUUGCUCUGUCCCAGUUCCUGCAAACCUAGCAGUUCGAAAUCACACCAGUGGAAGUAGAUAAAUAGGUACCGCUGUGGCAGGAAAGUGAACGGCGUUUCUGUGUGCUCUGGUUUCCGUCACAGUGUCCCAUUGCGCCAGAAGCAGUUUAGUCAUGCUGGCCACAUGACCUGGAAAGACAAACGCCGGCUCCCUUGGCCUGAAAGGAAGAUGAGCGCCGCAACCCCAGAGUCACCUUUGACUGGACUUAACCAUCCAGGGGUCCUCUACCUUUUUAAAAAAAAACCUUUUACGACCUUUGAUGUGAUUAAACUGCUCCCUGGUUUUCUGUUAAGCUGACUUGGCUUCCAUGCUAGUUGCGUGUUACGCUCCUUGGGUAUCGAGAAUGAAAUUACUGGCUCUACAAAGCUGCCCUUUGUUACUUUUAUUUACUAAAUCGUCCCCUUGCGGGUUUUUCCAGUUUCCUCCACACCAUAUUAUUUCUUUCUGGUUUCAUUAAUACAAACACCUUUUAAUGUGCUUUUAAUUUCGUUCAUUCACUCCGUGUCUCUUGCAUUCCUCUGCCUUGACUGUCAGUGACUUAUGCAUGAAGAAGAGACUUGUUUUGCCGGGCACAAGAAUAACUGUGGCUGACAUUAGUGAGUAUCAGGAAUCAAUAUGGGAACACUUGAUCAAAUCUUGUGGAACAGGUCUGCGGAAUUAUAAGUCUAUUUUGGAGGGACAUGUUGAGGCAUUCUACAGUUUUUUCCGCAAAGUAUCUCAACCCUUUGAACCAUUUCAUCCAUUGUAGAGGAAAUUAUUAAAUCCUGGUUCUAGGGGCAUUUAAGACCUCAGGCUGGGCUCUCUCUCUCUUUCUGCCCCAAUUAUUCACACCUAGAUACAAUCUUAGACAUUACACUCAGGGCACAUCAGGAUGACCUGCUUUUUGAACAUUCAUCCUGAUUUGCUUGCAGGAAGAUUAGACGACAUUUGCUGUUUAAUUGACAUUCAUUCUGAUUUGUUUGUGGGGAGGUUCGAUGGGUCUAAAUCUUGUCUUAACACUUUUAUUCUUUCUCUUCUGUAAAGCGGAUGACAAUGCCAAUUCCAUCUCAUGUGAAAAGUGCUAUAUAAAUGAAGGAUUAUCCUGUAACCUGCCACCUCCUCCUUUCCGUAACACCUUGACUUUGACACCACCCUUGCUUGACAUUCUUUGCCGCAAAAAAAGAGAGAAAAAGUUAUUAGUUUAUUUAGAAUUUUCCCUCCCAAGAUUAGCUGGAAAUUCAGAAGAUAAUGUAGCUGAGAUGGAAUUUUUAAUUUCUGCUGAAUAAUCAUUCAGCAAAAGGCACACCCUGGAACAAAGUUGCCAUCAGAAAGACACACUCAGAGGAUGGGGACUUCCUUGCUUUUUCCUUCAUUCCAUCAAGUUUAAAGUGAGAUUGCCAAGUAAUGUAGAAUAGGCUGAAAGACACUGUUUCACCAAAGAUCACCCAGUGAGCUUUAUGAAACCCUAGUAAGCAAUAGCAAUACCCCCCCUCCCAACCCAUCCCAGAAAAACCCUUUCAGAGAAACGUUAAGACAUCAAGCUUUAGUAACUAUGAACCCCGAAAUUUGGGAUCACUUCCAAACUGGUGCUAAAGUUGUGUACUUGUUUUGUGCUGUGAACCCUGAAUCUUGUACCUUCCCAGAACCUGAGUAAUUGACACAUCAAACCAGGAUGAGAUUUUUAGGUGUUAACUACAAACCCCAGUGUGAUAAAUCAAUUGCUCAGUUUUGAGGGGCGGCACAACUAAAUGUGGAGUUUGUGCUACAAAUCAAUACAAAAUGAGUACAAAACUUUGGCACCAGUUUGGAGGGGAAUCUCAAAUUUCAGAGUUUACAGACCCUCCAAUUGUCCCUAUUUUCCAGGGACAUCCCUGGAAGCCAUCCCAGUUUCUUAUUUGAUCCCGGAAUGUCCCACUUUUCCUUAGGAUGUCCCUCUUGUCAUUGGAGAAAUGUUGGUGGCUAUGGAGUUAUCCAAUCCCCAAGCUGUCUGAAGGCAAUCCUGUAUAGGGAAGUGUUUUGGUUUUUUAAAUGUUCAAUGUUUUUCUGUGUUUUUAUAAAUCCUGGAAGCUGCCCAGAGUGGCUGGGGCAACCCAAUAAUAUUUGUGGGGUAUAAAUAGUAAAAUUACCAUUAUGGAAUGGAACGUCCCUAUCUUCAUCUGAAAAAUGUUGGAGGGUAUGAGUUCAUGGUUAAUAAAGCUGAGAGACCAGGGUUCAAAUACCCGCCAAGCUCACUGGGAUUUAAACCCUGAUCUCUGAAAGUUUUGGGAGGGGGCUGUUACUGAUCUUACUGGGUCCCACCAGGAGGUUUGGCUGGCAGGAAGCUGUGCCACUCUGUGUGGGCACAUUGCUUUGAAUGUCUUGAGAGCGACUCAGUGCCACGUGAGAUGAUGGCGAUGCUCCCAAAAUGUUCCAGGAAGUGCAACUGAGAGGCCUGUGAGCAGCACAGCAUUUUUGUUAAGUUAGAAAAGCGGGGAAGAAAUGAGAAACCUUUGUCUACCUUGUAAGAUACAUAAAGGUAAAUCGGCAGCUGCCUCCUUAAAAUUUCAGAAAGAAAUUACUCCCCACCCCCUCCUGUGGUCUUUCAGGAGAGUUUUGUUUUGUAGGGGUGCCAAGUAAAAACCAGGGCACCCCGAAAGUUGUUGAGCUUUUUAAAGACGAACCUCAAAGUUGUUGAGCUUUCUUCAGUAAAAGCUACAAGAAUUUUUGAGCUUUGGAGCUGUUUUAGGCAUUUUUGGCAAGAUUUAACCCCCAUUGCCGGUUUUCCAGGACUCUUGCCUGAUGUUCAAAAAAUAAUCCAGGAUGCCAUUUUCGGGGGAGAAUUCCAGGACAUGCCCUGGACAAUCAGGAUGUAUGGCAGCCCGAGACUGUAGCAGUGGGAAGGAAUGGAAUUAGGAUUUCUGAUCUGCUGCUCGGACAACCAAUUUGCUACAUGCAUUGCUCAAUCCAGGUUGGAAUAAAAAGUGUUUGGACCACAUGUUGAUUAGCCACAAAACUGUCCAGAUACCCUUAUUAUUGUGCAUUCAUAAUGAUUUGUGCUCAUGAUGGUAUCAGGGUGGUUUUAAGACCCCCAAAUACAGUGGUACCUCGGGUUAAGUACUUAAUUCGUUCCGGAGGUCCGUUCUUAACCUGAAACUGUUCUUAGCCUGAAGCACCACUUUAGUUAGUGGAGCCUCCUGCUGCCGCCGCACCGCCAGAGCAUGAUUUCUGUUCUCAUCCUGAAGCAAAGUUCUUAACCUGAAGCACUAUUUCUGGGUGAGCGGAGUCUGUAACCUGAAGCAUACGGUAUGUAACCUGAAGCGUAUGUAACCCGAGGUACCACUGUAGUUGAGUUUUGUUUUACAACAAAAACGCCAAAAAACCACAAUUUUUUGAUUGACUUACCAAAGAUCCAGGACAAAGUGCCACAUUCCACCUUUGAAAUCCCGGUGACGUCCGGGCAAUUCUGGACAUAGAGCAGCCCAUUGAAUGAAUGGCCAAAACAGACCGUUUCAGAGCAGUCUCUGUCCAAAGCUCUACAAUGCCUGGGCCCAGCCCGGGACCAAACGUAAAGCAAACAACAGGUUAUCGUGACAAACAGGGCGGCUUUGAUUAGCUGUCACACAGUCUUUUUAACAACACCCUGUAAAGCAAAGGGAAAGGGGGUGGGGGUAGGGCAAGCACUCCAGCAAGACAAAAGGUAUCUGGAUUCCGGUAAUUUGGUGUCUGUGCUUUACCAAAAAACAAAACACUGCGGUGGUAUUUGCUAAGCUUUGCAAUUCCAGAGAAUUGUGCAAUUAUGCAACAACCAAAGGAGGAAAUGAAUCCAGGGUAACUAAGCCUCGGAGGAGACAUGUGAGACUCCACAAGCAAGUCUUCCUUUUCACCAUGCGCCAUUAUAAUGGAAGAAAGGCUGGAUACGCAAGAGUGGAUAAAUAAAUAACCAUGAUUUAUGUCUUUAUAAUUACCCAGAGGCAUACGUCACCCUUCCCCCCACUUUUGUACUCUCACUUAUCUUCCUUCUCUCCAAAAUAAGGUGUGACAACUGCUGGUGUAACCCACAGAUAGAUGGUCAUGUCCAUACCAUGCCUUUCAAGCACAUGUCUUUCCCCCCAAAGAAUCCUGGGAAUGGAACUCUAAGGAUGCUGGGAAGUCUAGCUCUGUGAGGUGUGAACUACAGUUCCCAGGACUCUUUGGGAGGAAAGCCUCGUGCUUGAAAGGCAUGGCGCGGAUGUGACCGAACAUGAAGGAUGCUCUCGGUUUCCUAACUCCUUGGAUAUCAUUUUUGCAGCCCUUACAUAUUUUGGGAACAGCAGUCCUUGGGAUGUAGUGAAAAAUAUUAUGAUUAUCAUGGCUAAGGUAAAGGUAAAGGGACCCCUGACCAUUUGGUCCAGUCGUGACCGACUCUGGGGUUGCGGCGCUCAUCUCGCUUUAUUGGCCGAGGGAGCCAGCGUACAGCUUCCGGGUUACGUGGCCAGCAUGACUAAGCCACUUCUGGUGAACCAGAGCAGCGCACGGAAAUGCCGUUUACCUUCCCACCGGAGUGGUACCUAUUUAUCUACUUGCACUUUGACGUGCUUUGACGUGCACUUUGAACUACUAGGUUGGUAGGAGCAGGGACCGAACAAUGGGAGCUCACCCCGUUGCGGGGAUUCAAACAGCCGACCUUCUGAUAGGCAAGUCCUAGGCUCUGUGGUUUAACCUACAGCGCCACCUGCGUCCCUUGAUUAUCAUGGAUACUGUACAGCUAAUUUACAACAUGAAUGAAAAUAUGUACAACAUUGUACAUAUUGUGCACACAUUGUAUACGUUGAGAUCCGUGGGUAUACAGUAUACAAAUGUAAUAAAUAAUAAUGGCUCUUUGUUGUUAUUGCUGAUCUUACGUUCUCAAAAUGUUCUCAAAUGAAGGAUCCAGUCUGUGCAUCAGCACCCAGUUAUGUACAAAAUAAGGAAUUGCAAGGAGACCAUCUUCCUUACAGCAAUAGACCAGUCCACCCGGCCAGAGAAGAAUGGCAGAUCAAGUUGAUGGAUUAUGUUGAAAUGGCUAAAAUGACUGGAAGAAUCAGAAACCAGGAAGACUAAAAUUUUAAUAAGGAACGGGGGAAAUUUAUAAUUUAUCUUUAAAACCAUUGUAAACAGUUAAAAUUGUUAGCAGGAUUGGAAUAACACUUGUAGUCUAAUAGUGAAUUUUGGAUAUAAUGGAGAUGUAAAAGAUCUGGAUUAUUAUAAAAGAUGCAGGAGGAAAUGACUAACAAUAGAUCCCGCAAAGGGGAGGAGGGAAGUCCAGGAGAUUAUUUGGAAUCUUAUUUUUAUGAUGGAUAUUGGUUUUGUGAUUGUAAAACUUUAAUCUGAAAGACCAAAUAAAUAAAUUUAUAUAUAUAUUCAAAAAUGAACUUAAAAACAAAAACCAGUAAUGCAAGUAACAGUUGCAAUGUAGUACUUUGUUCCUUCGUUGUCACAGAAACUUAGAAGUGUGGGAUGAUCAUAAAGUGCAGCAAUUAUUAACAGAGGCCACUGUUUCUGAAGAAAAUACUGUUUGAAAUGUGGUCUUUUCUGUGCAUGGAGAGCAACUGGAGGCUUGAUUUGUCUCCUGCAAGAGCUUGGAGCAUCCUAGAACUCUUCUAUGCACUUCCUUCGCAGGCUAUUAAGUCCUGUAGGUGACACUGUUUUCUGGCCUCAAUAGGAAGACCAGUGGGUCGGAAGCUGGGCAACAGCACCGGCUCUACCAUCAUCCAGAGUGAGGCAGCCACUUCAGAUAGUGGAUUUUGACAGGGAUGGCAGCCCAGUGUCAGAGGACAGAUCAACGUGCCCCGCUUGCCACACCACUCCACAGCUAGCCUGCUGUCUUCGGUUGGGGUGGCGGACACUGGUGGAAUCUACACACAUAUUAAAAAACGCUUCGAAAAUACUUUUUUAAAAAAAAGUUUUGAAAAAUGCAUGGAAUUUUGCAUAGCUCGCCACCGCCAUCUAGUGUCACAUUUGUAUAUUGCACUUUACAACGCAUUUAAAGCAUUUUUUUUGCAGCUGUGUAGAUGAGCCCACUGCCCCAUCUCCAGCAUUGAAAUAAGAUCCAAUUCUUGAUCCGGUCAGCUUACAGAAGGAGGGUGGGCACCAACUUUUGCCUCAGGCAGCAAAAUAUACUGAGUGGGUGAAUUAUGCUGGAUUGGCCUUCACCUUUCCUGAGAUUCACAGAUGGGGAGAGGGCAGAGGAAGGAGAAAGCCAGCCCUGCAUAUUUCUUCCUCUCUGCCACCAUUGCAUGCACAAACAUGGAGCCACCCACGCUAUCCAUGUAUUCCCGCCCUAAAGACGUAGAAUUAUAGAAUUGUCUAGUAAGAAGGGACCAGAAGAGCCAUCUAGUUCAACCCCCUGUAAUGCAAUAAUCUCUUGUCCGAUGUGGGAUUCGAACCCACGACCCUCAGAUUAAGAGUCUCAUGCUUUAACAACUGAGCCGUCCCAGCAGACAUAUAGAGAUCAGGGGUGUUGUCAUAUGUGGUCUAUGCAUGUAAUGGCUCCAUGCCCUCUACAGAAAACUGCCCAUGACACAUCAACCUGGAAAAAACAAAUUAACUUAGUAUGUAUCAAAAAAAGGAAUUGUGCCUCAGAGGCAGGGCUAGAAAAUUAAAUGUGGAAUUUAAAAUAAUAGGUUCCCACUAAGCAGGUUUAAAAAACAAAACAAAACCCAAAAUGAUCUUAAACUUCUUUGUUUGGGAUCAAACCACCAAAUGCGUAGUAGUUUAAAGGCCACAUAUAUGGUGUGUUUUUUCUAAACACACCUUCCUUUGUGGGAAAAAGUGAUUAUAAGUCUCAGUUUCUUUCCCCACAGACCACAUGAUCCGAGCUACUUGCGAAAUGUUGGAAAACGAGUUUCAGAUGGACUAAGUGCCAACUACCGACUGUUUCCUCCUUCUCCUCUGUGUACUAGCUACAAGGACAAAACAGCGUAACAAGGAAGUUUGUGUUCCUUGGGAGGUGGAUUUGACCGAAAGGAGAGAGAGUUAAAAGCAGCGUCUCCUGUUAAAUAAAAUCCGCUUUAGAAAACCUCCCAUUCCUUUUGCAAAUCCCAACCACAAAGGCAAUGGCAUUGAGCACAAAAAAGGAUCCUCAGAGAUGUAAACAGAGAAGCUGGGUCGAGAGCACGUUGGGUUAAAACUCCCACCAAUCUUUUCAAAAUAAAUUAACUGUUCAGUGUGGCUUAGAUGCUGGUCAUUGAUCUUCCCACAUUCGUGUGUAAUCCUUUUAACCGAUGCUCCCACCAGUCCCAGCCAGCAUGCCCAAUGGCAAAGUAGGAUGGGAUUUGGAGUCUGAUGACAGCUGAGAACACCAUGUUGGAUGUUGCAAAUGUAUAGACCUUGCGCCCCAUCAGAAUCUCCUCUGUCCCCUGUGCCAGGAGACAAGGAGGGACUUGAAGCAACAGGAGCUGCGGGAGUUGCAGCACAGUAGUCUCUGGUGGCUUACGGGGCCUUGUGUUGGACAAGGGGGCUCAAGUGAGCUGAAAGGGGCAUGGCGUGCUGUUGUGCCAACGAGUCCGGGUCUUUGCACAAGUCUGAAGAGGUAGACACCUAACUAGCUCCUUAGCAAGAGUAAAAAGAUAAAGGUAAAAGACCCCUCCCCUUCAUGGAUCACUGCCCCUUCAUGGAUCACUGCCUUGCCGUGGCGAAGGGGCUUGAAGAACUCAGAGAAGCUAUGAACUAUGCCGAGCAGGGCACCCAAGAUGAACAGGUCAUAGUGGAGAGUUUUGACCAAACGUGAUCCACCUGGAGCAGGAACCGGCAAGCCACUCCAGUAUCCCUGCCAAGAAAACUCCAUGGACAAAGACAACAGGCAUAUAAAAGUUAUGACACUGGAAGAUGAGCCCCUCAGGUCGGAAGGCGUCCAACAUGCUACUGGGGAAGAGCGGAGGACAAGUACAAGUAGAUCCAGAGCUGAUGAAGUGGCUGGGCCAAAGCCGAAAGGACGCUCAGUUGCGGAUAUGCCUGGAAGCGAAAGGAAAGUCCAAUGCUGUAAAGAAACAUAUUGCAUAGGAACCUGGAAUGUAAGAACCAUGAACCUGGGUAAGUUAGAUGUGGUCAAAAGUGAGAUGGCAAGAAUAAAUAUUGACAUCCUGGGCAUCAGUGAACUAAAAUGGACGGGAAUGGGCGAAUUCAGUUCAGAUGACCAUCAUAUCUACUACUGUAGGCAAGAAACCCGCAAAAGAAAUGGAGUGGCCAUCAUAGUCAACAAAAGAGUGGCAAAAGCUGUACUGGGAUGCAAUCUCAAAAAUGAUAGAAUGAUCUCGAUACGAAUCCAAGGCAGACCUUUUAACAUAACAGUAAUCCAAGUUUAUGCACCAACUACUGGUGCUGAAGAAACUGAAAUUGACCAAUUCUAUGAAGACUUACAACACCUUAUUGAAGUGACACCAAAGAAGGAUGUUCUUCUCAUUAUAGGGGAUUGGAAUGCUAAAGUAGGGAAUCAAGAGAUAAAAGGAACAACUAGCAAGUUUGGCCUUGGAGAGCAAAACGAAGCAGGGCAAAGGCUAAUAGAGUUCUGUCAAGAGAACAAGCUGGUCAUCACAAACACGCUUUUCCAACAACACAAGAGACGACUCUACACGUGGACAUCACCAGAUGGGCAGCAUCGAAAUCAGAUUGAUUAUAUUCUCUGCAGCCAAAGAUGGAGAAGCUCUAUACAGUCAGCAAAAACAAGACCUGGAGCUGACUGUGGCUCAGAUCAUCAGCUUCUUAUAGCAAAAUUCAAGCUUAAACUGAAGAAAGUAGGAAAAACCACUGGGCCGGUAAGAUACAAUCUAAAUCAAAUCCCUUAUGAAUACACAGUGGAAGUGAGGAACAGGUUUAAGGAUUUAGAUUUGGUGGACAGAGUGCCUGAAGAACUAUGGAUGGAGGCUCGCAACAUUAUACAGGAGGCAGCAACGAAAACCAUCCCAAUGAAAAGGAAAUGCAAGAAAGCAAAGUGGCUGUCCAAUGAGGCCUUACAAAUAGCGGGGGAAAGAAGGCAAGCAAAAUGCGAGGGAGAUAGAGAAAGAUACAGGAAAUUGAAUGCAGAUUUCCAAAAAUAGCAAGGAGAGACAAGAAGGCCUUCUUAAACGAGCAAUGCAAAGAAAUAGAGGAAAACAACAGAAUGGGAAGAACCAGAGAUCUGUUCAAGAAAAUUGGAGAUAUGAAAGGAACAUUUCGUUCAAAGAUUACCAUAAUAAAGGACAAAAGUGGUAAGGACCUAACAGAAGCAGAAGACAUCAAGAAGAGGUGGCAAGAAUACACCAGAAAUUAUACCAGAAAGAUAUGGAUGUCUCGUACACCCCAGGUAGUGUGGUUGCUGACCUUGAGCCAGACAUCCUGGAGAGUGAAGUCAAAUGGGCCUUAGAAAGCACUGCAAAUAACAAGGCCAGUGGAAGUGAUGGUAUUCCAGCUGAACUAUUUAAAAUUUUAAAAGAUGAUGCUGUUAAGGUGCUACACUCAAUAUGCCAGCAAGUUUGGAAAACUCAGCAGUGGCCAGAGGACUGGAGAAGAUCAGUCUACAUCCCAAUCCCAAAGAAGAGCAGUGCUAAAGAAUGCUCCAACUACCGCACAAUUGCACCCAUUUCACAUGCUAGCAAGGUUAUGCUUAAAAUUCUACAAGGAAGGCUCAAGCAGUAUGUCGACCGAGAACUCCCAGAAGUGCAAGCUGGAUUUAGAAGAGGCAGAGGAACCAGAGAUCAAAUUGCAAACAUGCGCUGGAUUAUGGAGAAAGCUAGAGAGUUCCAGAAAGACAUCUACUUCUGCUUCAUUGACUAUGCAAAAGCCUUUGACUGUGUCAACCACAGCAAACUAUGGCAAGUUCUUAAAGAAAUGGGAGUGCCUGAUCACCUCAUCUGUCUCCUGAGAAAUCUCUAUGUGGGACAAGAAGCUACAGUUAGAACUGGAUAUGGAACAACUGAUUGGUUCAAAAUUGGGAAAGGAGUACGACAAGGCUGUAUUUUGUCUCCCUGUUUAUUUAACUUAUAUGCAGAAUUCAUCAUGCGAAAGGCUGGACUGGAUGAAUCCCUAGCCGGAAUUAAGAUUGCUGGAAGAAAUAUCAACAACCUCAGAUAUGCAGAUGACACAACCUUGAUGGCAGAAAGUGAGGAGGAAUUAAAGAACCUUUUAUUGAAGGUCAAAGAGGAGAGCGCAAAAUAUGGUCUGAAGCUCAACAUCAAAAAACGAAGAUCAUGGCCACUGGUCCCAUCACCUCCUGGCAAAUAGAAGGGGAAGAAAUGGAGGCAGUGAGAGAUUUUACUUUCUUGGGCUCCAUGAUCACUGCAGAUGGUGACAGCAGCCACGAAAUUAAGAGACGCCUGCUUCUUGGGAGGAAAGCAAUGCCAAACCUAGACAGCAUCUUAAAAAGUAGAGACAUCACCUUGCCAACAAAGGUUCGUAUAGUAAAAGCUAUGGUUUUCCCAGUAGUGAUGUAUGGAAGUGAGAGCUGGACCAUAAAGAAGGCUGAUCGCCGAAGAAUUGAUGCUUUUGAAUUAUGGUGCUGGAGGAGACUCUUGAGAGUCCCAUGGACUGCAAGAAGAUCAAACCUAUCCAUUCUUAAGGAAAUCAGCCCUGAGUGCUCACUGGAAGGACAGAUCGUGAAGCUGAGGCUCCAGUACUUUGGCCACCUCAUGAGAAGAGAAGACUCCCUGGAAAAGACCCUGAUGUUGGGAAAGAUGGAGGGCACAAGGAGAAGGGGACGACAGAGGACGAGAUGGUUGGAUAGUGUCUUCGAAGCUACAAACAUGAGUCUGACCAAACUGCGGGAGGCAGUGGAAGACAGAAGUGCCUGGCGUGCUCUGGUCCAUGGGGUCACGAAGAGUCGGACACGACUAAACAACUAAACAACAACAAAAAAGACCCCUUGAUGGUUGAGUCCAGUCAAAUUUAACUAUAGGUUUGUGGUGCUCAUCUCGCUUUCAGGCCGAGGGAGCUGGCGUUUAUCCACAGACAGCUUUCUGGUUCAUGUGGCCAGCAUGACUAAACUGCUCCUGGCACAACGGGACACCGUGGCGGAAACCAGAGCACACAGAAAAUCUGUUUACCUUCCUGCCACAGCGGUACCUAUUUAUCUACUUGCACUGGCAUGCUUUCGAACGGAUAGUUUGGCAGGAGUUGGGACAGAGCAAUGUGAGCUCACUCCAUUGCGGGGAUUCAAACCGUCAACCUUCUGAUCGGCAAGCCCAAGAGGCUCAGUGGUUUAGACCACAGCACCGAAAAUAGCACCUCUGGAGAUGAUGCAAUUGAGUGUUUUUCCAAUAAAGAACUAGAUAUCCUCAUUGGGGCUGGGUGUGCUCAUUGGGGCUGUGUGUGUUCCUGGGGAAAAGCAUCACACAACUAUCAGUAAUAAAGUGGAAUAAUGUGUGGAUGGUCCAAUAUGGCACACACACACACUAUCAAUAUCACCAGCCAGCCUAUAAUACCACGCGAUCGGGAAACUUGGCUUGGCCUUCUGGAGCGAGUGGAGGAAGCAGGCAUCUGUUUUUACAUGCCUCAAAACAGGGUCUAUUCCUGGCUUCAUCUGAAAACAGCAGUGCCGUUAAGCAGUUUUAGACUCUGAGUUCCCUGCCCUCUUUGGAUGGUAACGUGUAGGCCUUCACUGACUUGAACAUGUGAGAAGGAGACCGCUCUGCAAUUGGAGGACCUCCUGACCAGUGGUGUAGCUUAGGGGCGUGUGACCCUGGGCACACAAUCUGGGUGUGAACCAGGCACACACACCCUGAGAUCCCCCUCAUGCCCUGCCGGCAGCGGGGGCUGGAGAGCACGGAGGGUGAAGAUCGCUCUCUGCAUGUCCCAUCUGAUGCACCUUCGCAGGGUCAAGGUUGACCCACGAGUCGGAGAACGGCUGUGGCGCUAGAGAAAGCUCCUGCUUUCUUGCAGGUGGUUCGGCAGCUCUGGCAGCGAGAGAAGAGUGUGUGGCAAUGUUGGACCUGGGCAUGCAAAUGUGCCCCUGUGCUGCUGCCGCGGUGGGCUCCCUCUGUGCCCCACCUCUUUGGGUGAUAUUUACCUAAGCUCCGCCACCGCUUCCGAUCAUUCUUCUGAGAAGAGUCCCACCCUUAUGGUUCCGCUGUCUGAAACGCCGAGGAAACAGCCGGAGAGACCCCGUUGUUAAAAGACAAUUCUCAUAUGGAUAACCAUCUGUUUUUAAGGAAUGUUUUAUUUACUACCUCCUAGGAAAGUACUUUUCAUGGAACAGCAGCAACACCGACAUUCACAAAAGGACAGGAAAUACAGCAAAAAAACAACAACAACGCCUAAAGUAAAUAGCACAUUUGAAAACAAGGCAAACAUACAUAAUAAUAUCUUUUUCUAUAGUUUGUUCUUAACCUAAGAAAAGUUCACAUUUCAAGUCAUAAACUUGCCUCAGUAGUGUAUAAAUGAAAUGGUUUGUGUAGUCAGACCACUGAGUGGUGGUUCAUUGACGCUUAAAUGGCCUCGAUGAUCCCUGCUACCUGGUGUUGCAAGCCAGCACCUUUGCACCUGUCCGGAGUUCCUAUGGGCAUUUCAAAGAACAUUCACUCGGUUAUUUGUUGGGGAUCUGCCUUUCUUACAGAUGCUAUACGCGUAUAUGUAAAAUACAGUAAGAGCUUCCCUUCUGUUCAAGUACUCGGGUAGGUUGGCACAAGCAGUCCUGUUUGAAUAAAGGUUUCAAAGAUUGGGUCUCCCAUGUGGGAGAUGAAAAAUUAAGGAGAUAGUGGUGCUUCGUUUGAGCAUGGUCACCUGCAGCUUUUACCACCGGCAACCAGUUUUACGAGAGAUUUCACAUAAGAUAGCGGAAUGGAAGAUGGCGGAGAAAAAGUCUGCUUGACUAACAUGGGUUAAAUAAAGAUUGAUUCAGAAGGUUGCACUUGGAGAAGUGCCCAAACUUGUGUUGAGUUUCUCCAUAGCUGUAGCCCAUGAAAGAGGCCUAAAGUCCUACUUACGGUUUUCCCAGUUGGUUGGUCACUGUGAAAAAAGGACUAGAUGGGGCUUUGGUGUGAGCUAGCGGGACUUGUCUUACAUUCUUAAGUUUCUGUUGUAGUGGAAAAACCUGUGUCUUGACUGUCCUACUUCACAUUGUACCGUAACGAUUCGUACGGCUGGAAUGCUCCCCGAUUCAAAAAGAACACAGCGAAACGCAAAACCUCCCCAAACACUAGGUGUUGGGGGGUGAGGGGAGUUCUAGCCCAGCCGGCCAUCCAAAAUGCUAGGUUUUUUUAUGAGGGCUAGGCUACCUUUUUGUUCAAUUAUUUGCCACCCUGCCUGAAUUGUGGUAAAGGUAAAGGGACCCCUGACCAAUAGGUCCAGUCGUGACCGACUCUGGGGUUGCGGCGCUCAUCUCGCUUUAUUGGCCAAGGGAGCCAGCGUACAGCUUCCAGGUGAACCAGAGCAGCGCAUGGAAAUGCCGUUUACCUUCCCGCUGGAGUGGUACCUAUUUAUCUACUUGCACUUUGACAUGCUUUCGAACUGCUAGGUUGGCAGCAGGGACCGAGCAACGGGAGCUCACCCCGUCAUGGGGAUUCAAACCGUGACCUUCUGAUCGGCAAGUCCUAGGCUCUGUGGUUUAACCCACAGCACCACCCGCAUCCCUUAAUUGUGCUAGUACCGCUCAAAUUCAAAUUUAACGCGCCAGGGGCAAUUGGACUAUGGUUAGGAUCCAGGCUUUGAAGCAAACAUAUUUCAAGUGUGGCAGGGCUUUUUGGAUAGCCACGUGAAAGCAAUGCAGCUUGUGAAAAAAUAAAUAAAACCAGUAGUUAACGGUGGCCCUUUGAGGUAAGGUGUACCAGUAAGCCCUCCAGUUGUGGAUAUUUUAAAGGACCACCCAUUUUUAAAAAUAAAAACAAUGACUGCUACUUAUUUCUAUAGCAAUAUGCUUUCCAGUUUGCCUGUAACAUCGGGGUGCGGGAAGGAUACCCUUGAGAAUAUUUUCAUUUAGGAUUUAAAUUCUGGAAAAGUUUGCCGAGGAGAGCUGCCUGGAUUCUGAAAACUGCACACAAAGCUCUUCUUUAAUUCUAAGCGUUACCUAAGCUUCUGAAUUCAGCCGUUUCCUUAGGCAUCUGUACAUACUGAAUGCCUAGGUUGGGAUCCCAAGAUGCUGUCUUAUGUGGCCUAAGGAAUCCUACUCAAAUCACUAGGGUUUCUGUGGUUGCUUCUAGCUCCAGCAGGUUCCCAGACUUGUGGGAGCAUCUCUUUGGGGCAAAUCGGUGGGAGGGUCUGCUGAAGCAGCAGCGUGGUUGAGUGCGAAAGGGCUCCCUUCAUGGCCCCUUGGAAUCCACUCAUCAUCUGUAGAUUCAUCUAAGGCACCUAAGUCCCAAGUGGUACUGGGCCAUGUCACCUAAAGCCGACCGAACCACUCAUUGCAAAGUUUACUGUAUUUUACAUUCACUGCACUACUACAAAAAAGCCUUGAAACAGGCCACAAAACACUGCAAUAAUAUUACUUAACCACCUUCUUCUUCUUCUUCUUUAAUAACCGUUGAAAUAAAACAUUGACUUUGUGGCACACCGCAUUGCCGUGUAAUACAGAGAAAUAAAACGACUCUUAAAAUGUACUGCAAAUAUAUUUACAGGCUUAAAAAAAAAAAAGUGGUCCAUAUAACUUCCUUUUCCGGUGUACAUGCACAAGUCCCAUUAAAUGGUAAUGGGAACCACGUGUGGAAAGGAGAAUAAGGCGAGAGAACAAAACCCACUUAAGUACUGUAUUACUAUGCCCCUUAACCUCACCACGAAACUGACGCAGCUACUUUAACAAGCAAUAUUUAUGGUGAACAAGAGCAUGUCUCGUCCUGGACUACACUAGUGUACAUUCUUUUGUCUCUACAGCAUACACUAGAAAAAGAACGAAGGUUUGAGACUAUACUGGGAUGCAGGGCUUGUUCACAUUAUGGAGUUCAAAGAAGUUAUUCAUGUAUAAAGCGCUAAAGCAGGACAUGAGAAAACCCAAAGUAGGAAAGGGAAUCUACUAUCCCCUUUGAAUCUCUGCACGUGUGAGUAACCGGUGUAUGUAGCGAGCUCCCACGUAUCUGCAGAUUUUCUUCUCAAUCUGUUAUAAAACUUAGAAAGAAGGCUGUGUGCAAAUGUCAUGAUGCCAUGCAAAUACACAAAAAGGAUCACCAACUGAAAGUAGCUAAGAUAUACUUAGGAAGCUGAGUUCUGGAGCCUUUUAUUUUUGUCCUUAAAAAAUAAAGGGACUUUAGUUCACAUGAAAAGCGUGAAGAUUGAAAGUCUAGUGUCAUAGAGGUGGUUGAAUAAGACUCCCAGCAGCCUAUGAAAGCUGGGGCAAUUCAAUUCCCACACAUAGCUCCCCGACUUUCCUAAGGACUUGGAUUUUAUGUGCAGGUCACAAAGGUUGACUUGCGUUGUUGGUGCAGAAUUGAUAUUUCCUCAUCAGGGAAUCCUGACUUGUUUGGAUUUGACGCAGAAGUACCACCACAGACAGUUACUUUUACCCUCUUACACGGACACCUUAGCACAUGGCAGCGGCACAAUUUCAAAUUUCAGUGGUGCCUUGUGCGAGGCUAAAAUUCAGCCAACCCAAAGAGGUCAAAUUGGUAAGGAUUUAGGAUAAAAAAAAGUUAUCCAAAGUUGAAACUAUGGAAGCGGGCAUCGAAGGCCACUGGUCACGAGUCAAAUACCAUGUCUAAAAAAAUCUGAGAAAGAUAUUAAAAACCUCUUGACUCAGGGGCAAAAUGGCCGGUAUUCACUUCGUGAGACAAACAGCCCUUUAGUUCAUUCUCACUUAGAUUCAAGUUUUGGCUUAACCUCUAUUUAAAAAUGGAAGCUAAAGGCACAGAAUAUGAGUAUCUAGAAUAAAUGCUGACAUUUGCACCUUGGGAUACAACACCCCUGAUUCUCGGGUGCCAACUCUACCACAAAGUUUAACCAUGGUUUCUGUGCUUGUAUAAAUGAAACCAAGGUACAGUUGCUACAAGACAGAAACUGCACUGGGUCAGGCUGGUAUCGACUACUAUGGAGUGGCACAGAGGUCACUUGCUACCCAAUUCAUUUUGUGUAGAUGCCAGCGACUGAACGUGAGAUUUCCUGCAUGCAAAGUCACUGAGAAAUAGUUCCUCCCACAGGAGAGCUUGGUUUCAUGACAUCUGAAGGCCUACUUUCUCAUGAAGGAGCAACACCGAAGACAAAAGUUUGCAGAUGGAGUUUGGAGCAAUCUACAUACUACAGGAGAUGCUUCGGCUGCGAACGUGAUACGUGCGGGAGGCAUGUUUGCAACCCUCAGUGUUCGCAACCCUCAGCGCUGUGUCUGCACACGCGUGGGUCAUGAUUCGGCGCUUCUGCGCAUGUGCAAAGCACGAUUUAGCGUUUCUGCGCAUGCAC